rnacentral:rRNA from 1 species
AUUGAACGCUGGCGGCAGGCCUAACACAUGCAAGUCGAGCGGAUGAGAGGAGCUUGCUCCUUGAUUUAGCGGCGGACGGGUGAGUAAUGCCUAGGAAUGUGCCUGGUAGUGGGGGAUAACGUCCGGAAACGGGCGAUAAUACCGCAUACGUCCUACGGGAGAAAGCAGGGGACCUUCGGGCCUUGCGCUAUCAGAUGAGCCUAGGUCGGAUUAGCUAGUUGGUGAGGUAAUGGCUCACCAAGGCGACGAUCCGUAACUGGUCUGAGAGGAUGAUCAGUCACACUGGAACUGAGACACGGUCCAGACUCUUACGGGAGGCAGCAGUGGGGAAUAUUGGACAAUGGGCGAAAGCCUGAUCCAGCCAUGCCGCGUGUGUGAAGAAGGUCUUCGGAUUGUAAAGCACUUUAAGUUGGGAGGAAGGGCAUU